GUUUUAAUGACUACAAUAGAAGAUCUUGUACUCGACAAUUUGACAUAAGAUUGCAACCCAAUAAAUAUUGACUACGAUGUCGAAGACGCCGAUCCAGAAGAUCGAUUCCUAUGUAAUUUAUCGUCUUCUGAUGAUGAAGAACAUGAAGACGAAGAACAAUAUUAGUUUUGUGUAAUAUAUUGAUGUCAAAUUAAGUAAU
rnacentral:sRNA from 1 species